UACAGAGGGUGCGAGCGUUAAUCGGAAUUACUGGGCGUAAAGGGCGCGUAGGCGGUGUAUUAAGUUAGAUGUGAAAUCCCUGGGCUUAACCUAGGAACUGCAUCUAAGACUGAUACGCUAGAGUGCGGUAGAGGAGAGUGGAAUUCCCGGUGUAGCGGUGAAAUGCGCAGAUAUCGGGAAGAACACCCGUGGCGAAGGCGGCUCUCUGGGACGGUACUGACGCUGAGACGCGAAAGCGUGGGGAGCGAACAGG
rnacentral:rRNA from 1 species